GCCGAACGCUGGCGGCGUGCCUAAUACAUGCAAGUCGAACGCAGUGGGGACGGGUGAGUAACACGUGGGUAACCUCCCAUCAGAGGGGAUUACACUUGGAAACAGGUGCUCAACCGAUACUGCUGGAUGGACCCGCGGUGCAUUAGCUAGUUGGUGAGGUAACGGCUCACCAAGGCCACGAUGCAUAGCCGACCUGAGAGGGUGAUCGGCCACACUGGGACUGGGACACGGCCCAGACUACUACGGGAGGCAGCAGUAGGGAAUCUGCGGCAAUGGACGAAAGUCUGACAGAGCAACGCCGCGUGAGUGAAGAAGGGUGUGGGAUCGUAAAACGCUGUUGUUAGAGAAGCGGUAUCUAAACAGAAAGCAACGGCUAACUACGUGCCAGCAGCCGCGGUAAUAC
rnacentral:rRNA from 1 species